UACGUAGGGUGCAAGCGUUAAUCGGAAUUACUGGGCGUAAAGCGUGCGCAGGCGGUUGGGCAAGACAGAUGUGAAAUCCCCGGGCUUAACCUGGGAAUGGCAUUUGUGACUGCCCGGCUAGAGUGUGUCAGAGGGGGGUAGAAUUCCACGUGUAGCAGUGAAAUGCGUAGAGAUGUGGAGGAAUACCGAUGGCGAAGGCAGCCCCCUGGGAUAACACUGACGCCUCAUGCACGAAAGCGUGGGGAGCAAACAGG
rnacentral:rRNA from 1 species